rnacentral:lncRNA from 1 species
UCAGCUUUCCAAAGUGCUGGGAUUACAGGAGACAGACGCAAUAAAAGGAAGUUAACAUACUGGUAUCAAGUAUUGGACAAGACUUUUUACACACAGUAAAAUUCAUUCACUGAUACAACCAUUUUAUGAAGUAAGUAUUCUCUCCACAAAAGAGGAAGAGAGGCUCAAAGACGUUCGCUGACAUGUCUAGGAUCACACAGCUAGUAUGCGGUAUAGUAAGAAAUUUCGUGUUUGUCUCAGGUUCUUGACACAGGGUUCCUAAAACCUUAGGAACUUCCCAGGUAAUGGGAGUGUCUUGUUACUUUUAAGGAGCCCUUUUUGAUCACCCUAUCUCUAUCUGCAUAUAAUUUAUGCUGGAUAGAGUUUAUGCUAAUGAGGUUACUGAGGUGGAGCCCCUAGAUAGCCUCAGGAUGGGGCUGCUCACUACAAAGACCAAGUGAUUGAUAGCUGGUUGGAACUUUCAGCCCCACCUACUGACCUCGGGGAAAGAAAGGGGGAGGGGGAUCUGAAAAUCAAACUCUAUAAACUCUCUUGGGAUCUGAUGAGCUUCUAGGUUCCCGAACCUAGUGCUGGGAGAGUGGCACGCCCAGAGGAAGCCUAGAAGGUCUGCAGGCACCCCCUUGCCUCCCACCCCCGCCAUACCUUGCCUUAUGCAGCUCUUCCAUCUGGCCAUUCCUGAGUUGUAUCCUUUAUGAUAAACUGGUAAACAUAAGUAAAGUGUUUCCUUUAAUUCUGUGAGGCAUUCCAGCAAAUUAUUAAACCCAAGAAGGGAGUCAUGGAACCCCUGAUUUAUAGCUGGUUGGUCAAAAGUACUAGAUGCCCAGACUUGCAAUUGGCAUCUGAAGUAAGUGGAAGCAGUGUUGUGCAACUGAGCCCUUUACUUGUGGGGUCUGCUGUCAACUCCAAGUAGACGAGUAUCAGAAUUGAACUGAAUUGUAGGACACCCAGCUGGUGUCAGAAAAUUGGCUGGCGUGAGGAAGAAAAACCACACAUUUUGGUGACCUCGUGUUCUGUGCUGUAUUGGGUAUAAGUGUUUGGUUUUUCCUAUCUUGUACACAGUAAGUUAAAGACAGGAUUUUGCACUGGUCUUGUUGGUGUGUGCCUGGUAGUCCCAGCUAUUUGGGAGGCUGAGGUGGGAAAACUGCUUGAGCCCAGGGGUUCAGAGCAGCCUGAGCAGCCCCAUCUCUGGGUAGAGAGAGAGAGAGAAAAAAAAAGGAUUUUGACCUAGGUCUGAAUUCAAAGUUCAUGCUCUUUCUCUAUGUGCUGCUUCCUACUAAAAUCUAUAAAUAACCCUAAAAGAGUCAAUUAUAUUAGCCUUUUCUUAAACUGUCUUUGGCCAGAACUACUAAAAAGGAGGAAAAGACUUUUAUGGCCCUUUUCUGUUCUUGUUCAGAUAUGUAUGUUUAAAAUGUGUACAACAGGAUAAUGAAAAAAAUAAAGAAAUUUAAUAAUCUGCCAUUGACUACAUGACAACACUGCUUGUGGACAUUUUAUUCACUUUAAAAUAAAUAUUGUGCUGUAAACUGUUCAGAAGUGAAAUCCAUAUUACAGUAGGCAAGUACAAGGGAUAGACAGCACAGUGUUUUGUUAGAGUAAACCAUUCUGAGUCUCAGAAGCAUCACCAACUGUCUACAUCAGAUAGAUACUCUGAGAGUAAACAUACUCAUAAGAAGAAAAAAGUAAUAGAUAAAAGUUCUGAGAGAGAAGCAACCUAUUAUAAAUAAGAGUUUCUUGAGAUUAACAAGGGUGAGGACAACUCCCAUGUGAGCCUCUACCAUGUGCCCAGUUUCUAGUUUAACUACUUGCAGAGAGCAGUUGCUAUAUAAAAAUCUGUUGAAAGGAUUUCAGGUACUAGAAUUUACAUAUUUUACAUGGUCUCUCAUUUACACCUAUCAAUUUCUUUCUUCAUGAUCUUUACUUCAUUAGCUACUUACAUAUACUAUAAUUUACAUAAUAAAUCUAUUAUUUAAAAACUUUCAAUAGGUACAACAAUUAUGACAUUUGAUUAGGCUGGACUCUAACUUGCUUGGAUGAGAUUUAUUUUGGAAUCACAGUAUCCAAGCAAAGAAAAACAGUCAGUUUAUAAGACACAACAAAAAUGAAAAAAA